UACGAAGGGGGCUAGCGUUGUUCGGAAUCACUGGGCGUAAAGAGCGCGUAGGCGGAUAUGCCAGUCAGGGGUGAAAUCCCGGGGCCUAACCUCGGAACUGCCUUUGAAACUGCAUAUCUGGAGACUCGGAGGGGAUAGCGGAAUUCCAAAUGUAGGGGUGAAAUCCGUAGAUAUUUGGAGGAACACCGGUGGCGAAGGCGGCUAUCUGGACGAGUACUGACGCUGAGGCGCGAAAGCGUGGGUAGCAAACAGG
rnacentral:rRNA from 1 species